rnacentral:lncRNA from 10 species
GCUGACACCACUUGAAGAUAAGCCCGUUCCUCUCUCUGGUAUAUUCUUUGCUUAAUAAAUCUUGUGGGGUGGUUAUUUGUGUGUCUCAUCCAAUUCUUUGUUCAUAACACCAAGAACCUGGAACUCCCAACUUCCAAUCUGGUAACAUAUUUUGGUGAGCCAGCCAGGAGGUAAGCCCAGAAGAACUGGGACUUUUUAUUUUCUUUCUUUUUUGCUUCAGCUCUUUCACUUUGGUUUAAAGCUGCCUUCUGCUGGCACGGAUUGGGCAGUUAAGAACGAAAAAGGCACUGGCCGCUUGAAGACUCCCAUUGUUGCGGGAAAGCAGAGGACCAGAAAGACCAAUGGGUGGAGCAGGAGGAUUUUAUUAAGGGUCAAGCCUGCAAUACCUAAAGCUCCAGACCUGGAACCCAAAGCUCCCAUCAGUCGCUACCCUGUGAACCUGUGGAGGAUCUGAAGUACCUGUUUAAAAGGCAUCCAAAAGAUAGAAUCUAUCAAGCUACAAAUGGCUAUGUUGCCUGAAGCCCCAGACAUCAUCCUACAAGAAAUAAGUCCAGACUUCUUAAUUUCCCCCUGGAUAGAGCAGGGUAAGAGUUCUGUGGUCCCCUGUUAGGUGGGGCCAGCAGUCCCACUCAGCUGGAAGCAAGUAUAGAAGAAAGAACUUCAACCCUCAGCAACCUAUUAUGAUUUAUGGGGAUCACAUCUCUCAGAGGGAAUUGAGGCAGGAGAAUAGGGAAGGAAGUCAGAAAAUCAACCUGCAGCCUUUUCUCACCAAAACAAGCAUAAGGCACCAUCUGAUAAGGAAGCUGAAGCAAUGAACCAAUGCUUUCUGCAGUAAACAAAUCUGGUAUAACCUUUUAUUAUAAUAAGUUACUUAAAGCCCAUACAUAUGGAAUGCAUAUCAUACAUACACUUAAAAUUAUGGAAUGGCAAGCACAUGCAGGCGCACUGAGAGAGAAAACCAACAAGAAAACUGAUAUGUCAAUUAUAGGCAACCUCCUCCCUAAAAGUUAAGUAAGAGUAGUAAGGUGGUAUAAAAGAACAAAGGCUAUGUUAACCCAGGGCUGAUACCACUCGCGGAUCAGCCCAUUCUUCUCUCUGGAACAUUCUUUGCUUAAUACAUCUUGUGGGGUCAUUAUUUGUGUGUCUCCUCCAAUUCUUUGUUUGCAACACCAAGAACCUGGAAAUCCAACUUCCAAUCUGGUAACACUUCUACUCUAAAAAUGUGCUUACUCUUUGUAUAGCAUGUAACUGCUCUAUUGGUUGUACCCAUUCAUAUAUUAAUGUUUCCACUUUUUAUGCCUCCUCUGUUUUUCUCAUGCCUUAAUGAGCUGUUUUAUGGAAUUUCUAGGAGGCAAUGAGUUGAGUUCUAUAGAUGACUUUUGUACAUCUUGCACAUGUACAAUUUAACACUUUUUUGUGAACAACAGAUAUCUUUUUUGAAAAGAGGUAGUCAUAGAUUAAUAUCAUAGCAAAAUGGCUGUGCAACGGCCAUCCAGUCAAGAUUACUCUUUAGCUUCCCUUUGCCCCAAGCACAUACCAAUUAGAAAAUGUAAAAAUAAAACCCAAAAAAGAAAUGCAAAAAGGUGAGUAGGAUGAAAGCCAUUAGUGAGCUUUGUUCCAAGUGACAUGGAAGACCAGAGUCAAGGUCACUGCUGAACUUCAAGGCCUGAGGUCAGGGUCCCUGGAUGUUUUAGGCAGUUCUCACAUUGCUAUAAAGAAAUACCUGAGACUGGGUAAUUUAAAAAGAAAAGAGGUUCAACUGACUUACUAGCAAACUGAAUUCAACAACACAUUUAAAAGAUCAUUACGACCAAAUGGGAUUUACCCCAGGGAUGCAAGGAUGGUUCAACAUAUGCAAAUCAAUGUGAUACAUCACAUUAACAGAAUGAAGGACAAAAACUAUAUGAUUAUUUCAGUUGAUGCUGAAAAAGCACUUGAUAAAAUUCAAUAUCCCUUCAUGGAAACCCUCAAAGGGCCAGGCACAGUGGCUCACACCUGUAAUCCCAGCACUUUGGUAGGCUGAGGUGGGCAGAUUGCUUGAGCCCAAGAGUUGGAGACCAGCCUGCACAACAAGGUGAAAUCCCAUCUCUACAAAAAAAUACAAAAGUUAGCCAGGUGUGAUGGUACACACCUGUAGUCCCAGCUACUUGGGAAGCCGAGAUGAGAGGAUUGCUUCAGGUCAGGAGGUCAAGGCUUCAGUGAAGAGAUCACACCACUGCAUUCCAGCCUGGGCAACAAAGUGAGACCCUUUCUCAAAAAAGAAUCUCAAAAAACUGGGUAUAGAAGGAACUACCUUUACAUAAUAAAAGCCACAGCUUGUAUCAUACUAAAAGAGAGAAAAAACCUUUCCUGUAAGAUCUAGAACAUGACAAGGAUGCCCUCUUUCACCACUGUUGUUCAACAUAGUGCUGGAAGUCUUAGCUAGAGAAUUUCAGAGAAGAGAACAAAAUAAAGAGCAUUCAAAUCGGAAAUGAAGAGGUCAAAUUAUCCUUGUUUGCAGAUGAUAUGAUCUUAUAUUUGGAAAAACCUAAAGACUCCACCAAAAAAGUAUUAGAACUGAUAAAUUCAGUAAAGCUGUGUGAUACAAAAUCAACUUAUGAAAAUCAGUAGCAUUUCCACAUGCCAACAGUGAACAAUCUAAAAAAGAAUUUUAAAAGUUAUCCCACUUACAAUAGCUACAAAUAAAAUUAGAUACCUAGGAAUUACCUUAAUUAAAGAAGUGAAAGAUUGCUACAAUUCAAAACUAUAAAACAUGUGAUGAAAGAAAUUGAAGAGGACACACAAAAAUGGAAGGAUAUUCCAUGUUCAUGAAUUGGAAGAAUAAAUAUUGUUAAAAUGUCCAUAAUACUUAAAGUAAUCUAAAAUUCAGCCCCUGAUAUUCAACGUGGGUCCUUUUCUAUUUUCCCUAAGUGAUGGCCAGUCUGAGAAAUAAAGGGAAAGAGUACAAAAGAGAGAAAUUUUAAAGCUGGGUGUCCAGGGGAGACAUCACAUGUCGGCAGUUUCCAUGAUGCCCCCCAAGCUGCAAAACCAGCAAGUUUUUAUUAGUGAUUUCCAAAGGGGAGGGAGUGUACAAAUAGGGUGUGGGUCACAGAGAUCUCAUGCUUCACAAGGUAAUAAAAUAUUACAAGGCAAAUGGAGGCAGGGUGAGAUCACAGGACUGGGGUGAAAUUAAAAUUGCUAAUGAAGUUUCGGGCAUGCAUUGUCAUUGAUAACAUCUUAUCAGGAGACAGGGUUUGAGAGCAGACAACCGGUCUGAUCAAAAUUUAUUAGGUGGGAAUUUCCUCAUCCUAAUAAGCCUGGGAGCGCUACGCGAGACCGGGGCUUAUUUCUUCCCUUAUCUACAACUGUAAAAGACAGACAUUCCCAGAGCAGCCAUUUCAGAGACCUCCUCCUAGGAAUGCAUUCUCUUUCUCAGGGCUAUUUCUUGCUGAGAAAAUGAAUUCAGUGAUAUUUCUCCUAUUUGCUUUUGAAAAAAGAGAAAUAUGGCUUUGUUCUGCCCAGCUUUCAGGCAGCCAGACCUAAUGGUUGUCUCCCUUGUUCCCUGAACAUUGCUGUUAUCCUGUUCUUUUUUCAAGGUGCCCAGAUUUCAUAUUGUUUAAACAAUUUGUGCAGUUAACCCAAUCAUCACAGGGUCCUGAGGCAACAUACAUCCUCAGCUUAUGAAGAUGACAGGAUUAAGAGAUUAAAGUAAAGACAGGCAUAGGAAAUCACAAGAGUAUUGAUUGGGGAGUGAUAAAUGUCCAUGAAAUCUUCACAAUUUAUGUUCAGAGAUUGCAGUAAAGACAGGCAUAAGAAAUUGUAAAAGUAUUAAUUUGGGGAACUAAUAAAUGCCCAUGAAAUCUUCACAAUUUAUGUUCUUCUACCAUGGCUUCAGCCAGUCCCUCCGUUCGGGGUCCCUGAAUUCCCACAACACAGAUUCAAUGCAAUCUCUGUCAAAAUAUCAAUAACAUUCUGCACAGAAAUUUUUAAAAAUCCUAAAAUUGAUAUGGAACCACAAAAGACCCAGAGUAGCCAAAGCUAUCCUGAGCAAAAAGAACAAAACUGGAGGAAUCACAUUACUUGAUUUCAGAUAAUACUACAGAGGUAUAGUAACCAAAAUGGCAUAGUACUGGCAUAAAAAUAGACCAAUGGAACAGAACAGAGAAUGCAGAAACAAAUCCAUACAUCCAGAGUGAACUCAUUUUUGACAAAGGUGCCAAUAACAUGCAUUGGGGAAAGGACAGUCUCUUCAGUAAAUGGUGCUGGGAAAACUGGAUAUCCAUAUGCAGAAUGAAACUAGACCACUAUCUCUCCUCAUAUACAAAAAUCAAAUCAAAAUGGAUUAAAGACAUAUCUAACUCCUAGAACUAUGAAACUACUACAAGAAAACAUUGGGGAAACUCUCCAGGACAUUGGACUAGGCAAAGAUUUCUUGAGUAAUACUCCAAAAACACAGGCAACCAAAGCAAAAAUAUAAAAUAGGUUCACAUCAAGUUAAAAAGCUUCUGCACAGCAAAAGAAACCAUCAACAAAGAGGCAACCUGCAGAAUGGGAGAAAAUAUUUGCAAACUACCAUCUGACAAGGGAUUAAUAACAGAAACUAUAAGGAGCUCAAACAACUCUAAAGGAAAAAUAUAAUAAUCCAAUUUAAAAAAUGAGCAAAAGAUCUGAAUAGACACUUCUCAAAAGAUGACAUACAAAUGGCAGACAGGUAUAUGAAAUUGAUCAUCAGAGAAAUGCAAAUCAAAGCUACAAUGAGAUAUCAUCUCACUCCAGUUAAAAUGGUUUCUAUCCAAAAGUGAGACAAUAAUAAAUGCUGGAGAGGAUAUGGAGAAAAGGGACCCUCGUACACUAUAUUUGGGAAUGUAAAUCAGUACAACCACUGUGGAGAAGUUUGGAGAUGCCUCCAAAAACUAAAAAUAGAGCUACCAUAUGAUCUAGCAACCCCACUGCCAGGUAUAUUCCUAAAAGAAAGGAAAUCAGUAUAUCAAAGAGAUAUCUGCACUCCUAUGCUUAUUGCAGCACUAUUCAUAGUAGCCAAGAUUUGAAAGUAACCUAAAUGUUCAUCAGCAGAUGAAUGGAUAAAGAAAAUGUGGUACAUAUACACAAUGGAAUACUAUUCAGCCAUAAAAAAGAAUGAGAUUCUGUCAUUUGCAACAACAUGGAUGGAACUGGAGGCCACUGUGUUAAGAUAAGCCAGGCAGAGAAAGACAAACUUUGUAUGUUCUCACUUAUUUGUGGGAGCUAAAACUUAAAACCAUUGAACUCGUGGAGAUAGAGAGUAGAAAGAUGGUUCACUUCAAAACAAAACAAAACAAAACAAACAAAAGCAGUGAAGUAUAAGAAGGACUUGAUGAAAAAAAAGGACAUAACAAGCUGGCUUACUGGCUCAAAAAUGGAAGGGGCAGUCUGAGGGGAAUGCAAACAUCCUAGAGGGGCUGAGAGAGAGCCUGUUCACAGCCAGCAACUGUUAACUGAACCUUAGCCCUACAGCUGUAGGAAAUGAAUUCCUUACACCAAUCUGAAUGAGCAGGCCCUACCCCAGAUUCUCUUAUCUCUAGAUAAGAGCCCAGGCACUUUGAUUUAGGGAGCAGAGCCCACCUAGAGAGUUCUGACCUGCAGAACUAUGAUAUAAUACCUGUGGGUUGUUCUAAACUGCUAAGGUUGGGGUGAUUUGUUUUUGUAGCAACAGAAAAACAAAUAUAGCUGAGAAGUCAGGCUUGAAGAGAUAACAGCUAAGAAUUUUCCGGAAGUGAAUCAAGGCACAAAUCUUCCGAUAAAAGUUUGCACCAUCUAACUAAGGAGAGCAGGUUAAACAUACACAGUUAUUUCAGCUCUCUCCCUCCUUCACUCCCCUAAAACUACAAUAAAGGGCUUAUUUAUUUAUUUGACAGAGUCUUGCUCUGUCGCUCAGGCUGCAGUGCAGUGGCACAAUCUCUGCAACCUGCCUGCUCCUGGGCUCAAGUGAUUCUCCUGCCUCAGCCUCCCGAGUAGCUGGGACCACAGGAGUGUGCCACCAUGACUGGCUAAUUUUUGUAUUUUUUGUAGAGAUGGGGUUUCACCAUGUUGCCCAAGCUAGUCUCCAACUCCUGGGCUCCAGUGAGUCACCUGCCUCAGCCUCCCAAAGUGCUGGGAUUACAGGCAUGAGACACCACACCCGGCCAAUAAAGGAAUUUUUAAGGUGCUUUUUAAAAACCAUCAGGUCAAAGAGAUUGUAGAGAAGACAAUAUCAAUACAAUUUGAGGACUGCAUAGCAGAAGGACAGCUGGAAACUGACUUAGCUCAGAAAAUUUUGAAUCUCAUCCAGCAGUGGGAAAAGCUCAGGAGCAACCUAACGACUCUGUAGAAACCUCAAAAGGCACAGGUGGCACCAGGUAGCUCUGGAAGUGGAAAUGAAGUGGGGCUAAAAGCAGCAGGAUUGUCUCCGGUGGAGUGUUUCCCACCGUCUUCUGCUGUAGAGAAUCGUGAGCUGGUUCCAUGCAGUUUCACCUUAGGCAUGGGUGGAUGCUUUCCUUCCCCACCUUCACGACUUCUGCAGGUGCCCCCAGCAGGAAGGAUCCAUGGCAGGCUGAGCAAACUCUCUGGGCACAGACAGGCAUUAUUCAUGCCGGACAUCAACAAGCUCUUUUCUGGCUGCUAUCAAUGUGGUCUUCUCUAGGGAACAAUAAGAAAGAUAGAUGAUGACGCUCCUAGACACUGUGAUAGAAAUGCGUAGGCUAACUUGUCUCCCCAGACUAACCUGUCUUCCAGCAGCUCCUUGGCAUUUGCUUGCUCAGGGUGUGGGGUGUGAAAGGCAGGAAUUUCCUGGGCCAGAGCUGAUUCCAUCAGUGCAUGGCCCAGCUGAUUCCAACCUGACUUAUGCUGAUUCCAUCAGUGUAUCUGGUCCCUUCCCUACUUUUCCUCCUUGUAUUAGUUUCCUCAAGCUGCUGUUAACAAUGAUCACAAAUGGGCUGGGCACAGUGGUUCAUGCCUGAAAUCCCAGCAGUUUGGGAGGCUGAGGUGGGAGGACUGCUUAAGCCCAAGAGUUCGAG